rnacentral:sRNA from 1 species
GCUGGGUAAGGGGGCUCACGCCUGUAAUCCCAACAGCUCAGGAGGCUGAGGCAGGAGGACCACAAGCCAGCCUCAGCAAAAGCGAGGCACUAAAGCAACUCAGUGAGAUCCUGUCUCUA